UUUCAAGGAACGCAGACUAAGAGCGCCCGUCCUGUGGCAGCGUCUGCAUGACCCGCAUCCU
rnacentral:sRNA from 2 species